rnacentral:rRNA from 1 species
CCUACGGGUGGCAGCAGUGAGGAAUAUUGGUCAAUGGGCGCGACCCUGAACCAGCCAAGUAGCGUGAAGGCUGACUGCCCUACGGGUUGUAAACUUCUUUUAUAAAGGAAUAAAGUGAUGCACGUGUGGACUUUUGUAUGUACUUUAAGAAUAAGGAUCGGCUAACUCCGUGCCAGCCGCCGAGGUAAUACAGAGGAUACGAGCGUUAUCCGGAUUUAUUGGGUUUAAAGGGACCGUAGAUGGGUAGUUAAGUCAGGUGUGAAAGUUUGCGGCUCAACCUUAAAAUUGCAUUUGAUACUGGCAGUCUAGAGUACAGUUGAGGUAGGCGGAAUUCGUGGUGUAGCGGUGAAAUGCGUAGAGAUGACGAAGAACUCCGAUUGCGAAGGCAGCUUACUAAGAUGCCACUGACAUUGAUGCUCGAAAGUGUGGGUAUCAAACAGGAUUAGAUACCCUGGUAGUC